GGGGUUGUGGCUCAGUGGUAGAGUGCUUGCCUAGCAUGCAUGAAAUACUGGGUUCCAUCCUCAGCACCA
rnacentral:tRNA from 1 species